AUAAGUUACUAAGGGCACAAGGUGGAUGCCUUGGCAUUAGGAGGCGAUGAAGGACGUGAUAGGCUGCGAUAUGCCUCGACGAGGAGCCAAAUAUCCUAUGACUCGGGGAUUUCCGAAUGGGGAACCCACGUAAAUUCAUAUUUACGUAUCUCUUGACUGAAUACAUAGGUCUUGAGAGGCGAACGCGGUGAAGUGAAACAUCUCAGUAACCGCAGGAGAAGAAAUCAAUAGAGAUUCCGGUAGUAGCGGCGAGCGAACCUGGAACAGGCCAAACCGUCGAGUUUCGACUUGGCGGGGUUGUAGGGCUGAUAACAUCGAUCCAUGAUUAGAUAAGGGAACAGGUUGGGAAACCUGGCCAUAGAGAGUGAAAGUCUCGUACCUUAAAUCGAAAGUGGCGUAUUCAGUACCUGAGUACCGCGGGACACGUGAAACCCCGUGGGAACCUGGGAGGACCAUCUCCCAAGCCUAAAUACUCCCUAAUGACCGAUAGCGUACCAGUACCGUGAGGGAAAGGUGAAAAGAACCCCUGUUAGGGGAGUGAAAUAGAACCUGAAACCAUGUGCCUACAAGCUGUAGGAGCAGACUAGUUCUGUGACUGCGUGCUUUUUGCAUAACGGGCCAGCGAGUUACUCUGUAAUGCGAGGUUAAGCUUUUAAGUGUAGCCGUAGCGAAAGCGAGUCUGAAUAGGGCGACAAGUAUUGCGGAGUAGACCCGAAGCCGGGUGAUCUAUCCAUGAGCAGGCUGAAGCUUGAGUAAAAUCAAGUGGAGGGCCGAACCAGUAUCGGUUGAAAACGAUUUGGAUGACUUGUGGAUAGGGGUGAAAGGCCAAUCAAACCCGGUGAUAGCUGGUUCUCGUCGAAAUAUAUUGAGGUAUAGCGUGUGAUUAGUUUGACGGAGGUAGAGCACUGACAAGGCUAGGGGCCCACCAGGUUACCAACCCUUAUCAAACUCCGAAUGCCGUUAAAUGAUGUCAUGCAGUCAGGCUAUGGGUGCGAAGGUCCAUGGCCGAGAGGGAAACAGCCCAGACCAACAGCUAAGGUCUCGAAAUCAAUGCUAAGUGGGAAAGGUGGUGGAGUUGCUGAUACAUCCAGGAGGUUGGCUUAGAAGCAGCCAUCCUUUAAAGAAAGCGUAAUAGCUCACUGGCCUAGCGAUUCUGCGCCGAAAAUGUAACGGGGCUAAGCAUUGUACCGAAGCUUUGGGUUCAUAGUUUACUAUGAGCGGUAGACGAGCGUUCUCAGAUGGGAUGAAGGUUAACCGGAAGGUUGGCUGGACUAAUGAGAAGUGAUUAUGCUGGCAUGAGUAACGAUAAAAUAAGUGAGAAACUUAUUCGCCGUAAACCUAAGGUUUCCUGGGUAAAGCUAAUCUUCCCAGGGUAAGUCGGCCCCUAAGGCGAGGCAGAAAUGCGUAGCUGAUGGGAAACAGGUUAAUAUUCCUGUACUUGUAUACAUGUGCGAUGGAGGGACGCAGGAGGUAGAUGAUCCGGGUGUUGGAUAUCCCGGUGCAAAGGUGUAGGCUUUCGGAGUAGGCAAAUCCGCUCUGAUAUACGGUCGAGACCUGAUGCCGUGUCUUUAAACGACAGAAGUCAUUGAUUCCAUGCUGCCAAGAAAAGCUUCUAAGUUUAGUGUAUGCAAACCGUACCGCAAACCAACACAGGUAGGUGGGUCGAGCAGACCAAGGCGCUUGAGAGAACUCUGGUUAAGGAACUCGGCAAAAUGACCCCGUAAGUUCGCGAGAAGGGGUACUCGAAUGUGUGAUCUUAUUUACUUUGUGAGCACACUCGAGGCGCAGUGAAUCGGGGGGGCGACUGUUUACUAAAAACAUAGGUCUCUGCUAAGUCGUAAGACGAUGUAUAGGACUGACGCCUGCCCGGUGCUGGAAGGUUAAGAGGUGGGGUUAGUCUUCGGACGAAGCUCUAAAUCGAAGCCCCAGUAAACGGCGGCCGUAACUAUAACGGUCCUAAGGUAGCGAAAUUCCUUGUC
rnacentral:rRNA from 1 species